AUUGAACGCUGGCGGCAUGCCUUGCACAUGCAAGUCGAACGGCAGCACGGGUGCUUGCACCUGGUGGCGAGUGGCGAACGGGUGAGUAAUACAUCGGAACAUGUCCUGUAGUGGGGGAUAGCCCGGCGAAAGCCGGAUUAAUACCGCAUACGAUCUACGGAUGAAAGCGGGGGACCUUCGGGCCUCGCGCUAUAGGGUUGGCCGAUGGCGGAUUAGCUAGUUGGGGGGGUAAAGGCCUACCAAGGCGACGAUCAGUAUCUGGUCUGAGAGGAGGACCACCCACACUAGAGCUGAGACACGGCCCAGACUCCUACGGGAGGCAGCAGUGGGGAAUUUUGGACAAUGGGCGAAAGCCUGAUCCAGCAAUGCCGCGUGUGUGAAGAAGGCCUUCGGGUUGUAAAGCACUUUUGUCCGGAAAGAAAUCCUUGGCCCUAAUACGGUCGGGGGAUGACGGUACCGGAAGAAUAAGCACCGGCUAACUACGUG
rnacentral:rRNA from 1 species